GAUGAACGCUGGCGGCGUGCCUAAUACAUGCAAGUCGAACGAACAGACGAGGCGCUUGCUCCUCUGACGUUAGCGGCGGACGGGUGAGUAACACGUGGAUAACCUACCUAUAAGACUGGGAUAACUUCGAGAAACCGGAGCUAAUACCGGAUAAUAUAUUGAACCGCAGGGUUCAAUAGUGAAAGACGGUUUUGCUGUCACUUAUAGAUGGAUCCGCGCCGCAUUAGCGAGUUGGUAAGGUAACGGCUUACCAAGGCAACGAUGCGUAGCCGACCUGAGAGGGUGAUCGGCCAGACUGGAACGGAGACACGGUCCAGACUCCUACGGGAGGCAGCAGCAGGGAAGCGUCCGCAAUGGGCGAAAGCCUGACGGAGCAACGACGCGUGAGUGAUGAAGGUCUUCGGAUCGUAAAACUCUGUUAUUAGGGAAGAACAAAUGUGUAAGUAACUAUGCACGUCGUGACGGUACCUAAUCAGAAAGCCACGGCUAACUACGUG
rnacentral:rRNA from 1 species